rnacentral:misc_RNA from 1 species
UCUCCGUUGGUGAACCAGCGGAGGGAUCAUUACAGAGUUGCAAAACUCCCAAACCAUUGUGAACGUUACCUAUCCCGUCGCUUCGGCGGGCGGCCCGGGCCCCGCGCCCGGCGCCCCCCGGCCCCCCGUGGGCGCCCGCCGGAGGUAAACCAAACCCUUGAAUUGCAUGGCCUCUCUGAGUCUUCUGUACUGAAUAAGUCAAAACUUACAACAACGGAUCUCUUGGUUCUG